rnacentral:rRNA from 1 species
UACAGAGGUCCCGAGCGUUGUUCGGAUUCACUGGGCGUAAAGGGUGUGUAGGAGGCCAGGUAAGUCUGAUGUGAAAUCUCACUGCUCAACGGUGAAACGGCAUUGGAUACUGCCUGGCUAGAGGUCUUGAGGGGGAAUCGGAAUUCUUGGUGUAGCAGUGAAAUGCGUAGAUAUCAGGAGGAACACCAGUGGCGAAGGCGGAUUCCUGGAAAGAUACUGACUCUGAAACACGAAAGCCAGGGGAGGCAAACGGGG